rnacentral:lncRNA from 1 species
AGAGUCGAGACAUCAACACAUGAAUCAGACAGGAUGAGAGGAAGAUAAGGCUAAAGACAGAGGCUCCAGCUACCUUGGUGACAAGGAAUGGAGGAGAAAAUGAACAGGAAAUUUUAAUAAGAUUAGGAGGGCUUGCUUUUCUGCCAAGUGAGAUGGAAACUUGCUCUGUUCCCCAGCCUGGAGUGCAGUGGUGCCAUCUCGGCUCACUGCAACCUCUGCCUCCCAGGUUCAAGCGAUUCUCC